rnacentral:rRNA from 1 species
AUUGAACGCUGGCGGCAUGCUUUACACAUGCCAGUCGAACGGUAACAGGCCGCAAGGUGCUGACGAGUGGCGCACGGGUGCGUAAUGCAUCGGAACGUGCCCAGUCGUGGGGGAUAACUACUCGAAAGAGUAGCUAAUACCGCAUACGAUCUAUGGAUGAAAGCGGGGGACCGUAAGGCCUCGCGCGAUUGGAGCGGCCGAUGUCAGAUUAGGUAGUUGGUGGGGUAAAGGCUCACCAAGCCAACGAUCUGUAGCUGGUCUGAGAGGACGACCAGCCACACUGGGACUGAGACACGGCCCAGACUCCUACGGGAGGCAGCAGUGGGGAAUUUUGGACAAUGGGCGCAAGCCUGAUCCAGCAAUGCCGCGUGCAGGAAGAAGGCCUUCGGGUUGUAAACUGCUUUUGUACGGAACGAAACGGCUCUGGUUAAUACCCGGGGCUAAUGACGGUACCGUAAGAAUAAGCACCGGCUAACUACGUG